rnacentral:sRNA from 1 species
UCACUAUUCAUAUUCAGUCCUUUUAGUUGCUUUGUAGGUCAGGAUUCUCGUGUUACGUAUCAAACACUAAAUGUUUCUCAGUCGGCUAUGGUGCCUAUUGUGACCAUGCCUUCCUCAAGGGCACAAAAUGAAUGGCCAAGGUCUAUAUAGGAUGUUCCACCGACCAAUAAAAGGAUGCCACCAUUGUCGGAUUUCCGGCUGACGAAGGCACUGGUUUAGCAAAGGGUGAAGGAUAAUGUGGUAAUAAUGACCUUUGGUAACUAUGCGUUCAUGGAUUUUAUUCUGACAUGGGUUAAAAAAUUGAAAGAUUUGGAUGUUUCCAAUUUUCUUGUUGGUAGUAGCUCUGUUUAAGUCUUGUUCUAUAUGUCUUGUAAAUGCGGUGGUGAUGUCUUGAUACAAACGAAUUUCUACUAUUAUUUACCAUUGGUUGUUUGAGUUUUGAAACCUGUUUCUUAGGUGCAAUGGAUACCAAAUUAUUUGAGGCACUGUAUUGCAAUGAGAUGCUGGAUUUUGACAUGGGAAGCCAUAUGAGA